AUGGCGGUGCAUGGCGGGUACACGGAGCACUUCGUGGGCAGGGUGUCCAGCCUCGCCCGCCGCGUCUCCCGCGCCACCCGCCGCCUCCUCCGCCACCGCCUCCGCUACGGCGUCAGCGCCUCCUCCUCCUCCUCCUCAUCGCGCAGGAAGACGCGCCCCGUCGUCGACCCCGCCGGCAGCGGCAGCGGCAGCGUCGCCGAAUCGCGGCGGCAGCCGGCGGGCGACGUUGUACCGACGGCGGACGGCAAGGGAGAUGUCGCCAACGCCGACGCCGAGAACGAAGAGGACGACGGCAUCUGGCGCCGCGCGAUCCUGAUGGGGGGCCGGUGCCAGCCGCUGGACUUCGCGGGGGCGAUCCACUACGACAGCUUCGGCCGCCGCCUGGCGCGCCCGCCCUCGGCGGCGCCGCGAUGCGCGUCGUCGCUGUCGUGCCGCUCCUCCGACAGCCUCGCCACCUACCUCGAGACCACCGAGGUGUGA
rnacentral:rRNA from 1 species